ACUCCUACGGGAGGCAGCAGUAGGGAAUAUUGGACAAUGGGCGCAAGCCUGAUCCAGCCAUGCCGCGUGAGUGAAGAAGGCCCUCGGGUUGUAAAGCUCUUUUGUCCGGAAAGAAAAGCAUCGGGUUAAUACCCCGGUGUUCUGACGGUACCGGAAGAAUAAGCACCGGCUAACUUCGUGCCAGCAGCCGCGGUAAUACGAAGGGUGCAAGCGUUACUCGGAAUUACUGGGCGUAAAGCGUGCG
rnacentral:rRNA from 1 species